UAAAGCAACAAAAGUGUAUCAGUAAUAAGCAUUGAAGGACAUCUUGGAUUAUGUGAUCUAGAUUCUCUGUCAGUGUGGAAGAACCUUUGCUCCAAGCUCUGGGAUUGCCUCAUAGGCUGCUUCAGGACUCACUCUCAGCCAAAGAGAACCUCAUCACUUGUGGACACCUCCCCUUUCCUGCAGGCAGUCUGGAACCAGUGACAUGAAACCUGCACCUCAUCUUGGGACAAUUCUAAGGGCCACCUGAGUUCCAGAUAUUAUCAAGGACUCAGCUGAAUCUUUUGAUGGAAAACUUGAGACCAGCCUCAGAGCUAGACAAGGGCCAUGGAGUGCCAAGGUCAUGGCAGAGCUCACUUGUCUCCAAAGGGGGCAGUUAUGGACAACUUAAGGUAACAACUGGAUCCAUAAAGAUGGAAGCAAGAAUGACUGAGCAGUCAUCUAGGAGAAAACAAAAGUAUGAUGACAGAGACUUCUUGUGAAAAUCAGUGAGUGGCUCUCUGCAGUGGUUACAGAAAUGCCCCAGCAUGGACACCAUCCUAUAAACUGGCUCUGCUGUCCCAGCAGUGAUGGAAAGCACUCAAUUUGCUUUCUCUUGGAAGAGACAGAGUGGCUGUCAGUUUACUGCAAUCUUUUGGACUGCCUGGAAAAUUGAAUGUACAACAGGAGAGAGGAGAGGCAGGACACAGAUUCUGGAAUAGAAAUCGAAGACAAAGAGGCUCGUAAACAUCAAGAUUCUGGGGCUAAUCUAGCCAUUCACAGUUUUAGAGUCAUGGGCAGUAACACUUAAAAAAUACACUAUGUUCUAACUACCACAAGGUUUUUCACUCUAGCAACUAAAAAAGCACUGGCCUCAGGAUUUGCAACAUUAAAAGUCACAGCUCAUCCACCAUCAGAUGCUAACUGACCCUGCUGUUCCACAAGCCAUAGCUACAACUUUGAUUGGACAAGAGUCUGGUUUCAGUAACUUUCUCCUGAUUAAGAAGACCACUGACCAUUGACUGGUUCUGCCUGUUUACAGAGAUUACACACUUACCUACCUUUGUAUGUAAAAUGAUCUUUUGAUAUAUAAAGCAUAAUUGUAACACAUUUAAAUGCUAAGUAGCCACCCCAAAGUGAACAUAGGUCAUAUGUUACAUUCAUGUUUGUUCAAUAGGCAUGUGUCAGGACCACCUUCAUGAAUAUUCAUAGCUCCUCCUGUAACCAGUUAAAUAUGUAUGUUUAGCCAACCUCUUUAGCAUAAAGCUCCUACCCCAAGCCCCCCUCCUUUGAAGGGCCUGUCUCUGGUCUUGCCUGGAUGGCCACCUUGCAGGCUGUAACCCU